GAUGAACGCUAGCGGCAGGCUUAACACAUGCAAGUCGAGGGGCAACACGGGUAGCAAUACCUGGUGGCGACCGGCGCAAGGGUGCGUAACGCGUGAGCAACAUGCCCUAUACAGGGGGAUAAUCCAGGGAAACUUGGUCUAAUAUCCCAUAGUAUUUAGAGGUGGCAUCACCACUAAAUUAAAGCUUCGGUGGUAUAGGAUUGGCUCGCGUGACAUUAGCUGGAUGGUGGGGUAACGGCUCACCAUGGCGAUGAUGUCUAGGGGUUCUGAGAGGAAGACCCCCCACACUGGGACUGAGACACGGCCCAGACUCCUACGGGAGGCAGCAGUGAGGAAUAUUGGACAAUGGAUGGGAAAUCUGAUCCAGCCAUGCCGCGUGCAGGAAGACGGCCCUAUGGGUUGUAAACUGCUUUUAUAUGGGAGCAAUAAGGUUUACGCGUAGACCGAUGAGAGUACCAUAUGAAUAAGCAUCGGCUAACUCCGUG
rnacentral:rRNA from 1 species